rnacentral:rRNA from 1 species
UGAGGAACAUGACCUUCGGCGGGGGAUAGCCGGCCCAACGGCCGGGUAAUACCGCGUACGACCACAUGGGGACAUCCCUGAGUGGUGAAAGCAGCAAUGCGCCGAUGGAGUGCCUCGCGGCCUAUCAGCUAGUUGGUGAGGUAACGGCUCACCAAGGCGACGACGGGUAGCUGGUCUGAGAGGAUGGCCAGCCACAUUGGGACUGAGACACCGGCCCAGACCUCUACGGGAGG